rnacentral:sRNA from 1 species
GACCCUCCAUGGUUCCCAGCACCCCACCCACCGGUCCCAUCCCCACACCUGCAGGCCCUGAGGACCAGCCCCUCACCCCCACCGGGUCGGAUCCCCAGAGUGGUGAGUGAGGGGCUCUGAGUGGGAGGUGGGCGGGGUCCAGGGGAGGCAGGGGUGGGUUCUGUCCUAGGUUCAGGCCUCUCUGGAGGUGGCGAUGUGGACAGGCCCCUCCCCUGCCUGGGCCUCAGUUUCUCCAAGUGUAAAGGCGAGAGGCCUGCGGGUGGGAAAGUUCCUUUCAGCUCUCACUCCCAGCUCUGCCCUCCUGGGAGAGGAGGCCUCCCAGGGAAGCCUCCAAGACCCGAUUCCGCGGGGGCCUGUCCUGUCCCACCUGCAGCAGAGACGGUGACCUGGGGCAGGGGAGGGGAGCAGAGUCAUGGUUCAAGACAGUCAGGCUCUUUCCCUGCAGCUCCGGGACUCGGCUCUGGUGCAGGAACAAGGGCUGCAGGUCAGACUCCCGGGUUCCCUUCCCAGCUCUGCCGCUUCCUGGCUGGGGGCCCAGGGCAGGCGAUUCCCCUCUCUGAGCGUCAGUUUUUCAUCUGUACAGCGGGUGGGGUGGAUGUUUCUGUGCUGCACGACUGUUGUGGGGGUUGGAGGUGGUGAAUAGAAGGUCCAGCAGUCACCUGCACACAGUAGGCGCUCAUUUCAAUGACAUCACCCCCAUCCCUGACAUCAUCGUGCUCAAGGUCUGGGAAGGCACCUGGGGGUUGUGAUCGGCAUCUUGGUGGCCGUCGUCCUCCUGCUCCUCCUCCUCCUCCUCCUGUUCCUCGUCCUCCGACACCGACGUCAGGGCAAACGCUGGACAUCGACCCAGAGAAAGGCUGAUUUCCAACAUCCUGCAGGGGCUGUGGGGCCAGAGCCCACAGACAGAGGCCUGCAGAGGAGGUAAUUCUGCCCAAAGACCCCAGACUCCCACCCGCCCCUGGCCCAUUCACUGCCCCUAAAGCUCCCGUUCCUCCCCCAGGUCCAGGCCAGCUGCCGAUGCCCAGGAAGAAAACCUCUAUGCUGCCGUGAAGGACACACAGCCUGAGGACGGGGUGGAGAUGGACACUCAGGCUGCUGCAUCUGAAGCCUCCCAGGAUGUGACCUACGCCCAGCUGCACAGCUUGACCCUCAGACGGGAGGCAACUGAGCCUCCUCCAUCCCAGGAAGGGCCCUCUCCAGCUGAGCCCAGCAUCUACGCCACCCUGGCCAUCCACUAGCCCGGAGGGUAGGCAGACUCCACACUCAGUAGAAGGAGACUCAGGACUGCUGAAGGCACGGGAGCUGCCCCCAGUGGACACCAGUGAACCCCAGCCAGCCUGGACCCCUAACAAAGACCAUGAGGAGAUGCUGGGAACUUUGGGACUCACUUGCUUCUGCGGUCGAAAUAACUAAUAUCCCUACAUUUUUUAAUUAAAGCAACAGACUUCUCAAUAA